CGCUAAUCUCUUAAAACCAUUCUCAGUUCGGAUUGCAGGCUGCAACUCGCCUGCAUGAAGUCGGAAUCGCUAGUAAUCGCGGAUCAGCACGCCGCGGUGAAUACGUUCCCGGGCCUUGUACACACCGCCCGUCACACCACGGAAGUUGGGAGUACCCAAAGUAGGUUGCCUAACCGCAAGGAGGGCGCUUCCUAAGGUAAGACCGAUGACUGGGGUGAAGUCGUAACAAGGUAUC
rnacentral:rRNA from 1 species